GGGCGCCAGAGAGGGUGA
rnacentral:snRNA from 1 species